GCACACACUCACACACACACACACAGUUUCCCUCUGUGGUGACUGUAAUUGUAGUGAUGUGAUAUUGUCAUUGUUGUGUGUGUGAGAUGAGAGUAAAUGUUGUGUAUAUAAAGAUUUUGUGUAGUUGAUGUUUUCAGAGCUAAAACUGAGUGUGUUAAGUGUGAGAAGGUUUUCUUUCUUGCAGGAUGUGUGACUGCAGUAUUACAGAUGAAGGCUGUGCUGCUCUGGCUUCUGCUCUGAGGUCAAACUCCUCAUCACGCCUGAGAGAACUGGAUCUGUUCGGUAAUAAUCCAGGAGAAUCAGGAGUGAAGCUGCUCUCUGAUCUACUGAAGGAUCCACACUGUAACCUGGAGACACUACACAUUAACUAUAAUACACUCACCAGGACUGGCGUAUGACAGGAGUCUCACCUCAAACCUCUUCUCCAGGAUAAAGCAGUCUCGGUGAAGAGUUAGAACCCGUCCCACAUUUCCAGCAGUUUUGGAGCUGAAUCAUUAAACUUAAAGGGGCAGAGCAGAAACAAAGUCAAGAACAGGCAGAAGGUCGUACACAGGAGAAAUCAACACAUGUAACCAAAUAUCUGCUGUACAAAGCAACAGCACCGAUCUGCCCCGGGGAUGGAGACUGACGAGGCUUAAGUACACGUCCGGAAAUGUACAGCCAACUCAUCCCAAAGCACGAGGCGGGAGCAGGCGUGUACGAGAUGUGAUCGUCUAAUGGAAAGCCGGAACAUGACGCACCGCAGUGGACUGGGCUUAAAAGAGGAGGAGACAAGACACCCAUCCCUCCCCCGACAUAGACACACGAAUGGAACAUAGUACAAACAGAAAUACAACUGAGGACGUAACAAUGGUCAAGUAUCAAAUAAAAUGUAAACGUGCAUUGAUGAAGGUAAUGUUGUUAGUAAUUGUUAUAAAUUACCAUGGUAACACAGAGCUCCAAGGUAUAAAAAUAUGGAGUUUGUCAUCAACCAAACAGUAACCAGUUUUAAUACCUAAAAAAGUUUACGUAGCCAAAUUUAGCAAAGCGCUUUACAGUAAAUUAAAAUGUAAAUUAAACUAAUGAAAUGUUGUGCAGCACAUGCUUAUGUUAAUGUUUGUUUCAUUAUAUGAUCAUAUAAAUAAAUAAAUACUCCCAAAGUCACCAGAAUUGAAAGCUUUGGUGCUGUUAAACAUUUAGAGAUUGAUGUUGUGGUGACUCAGUAGUUCACUCAGUAUAUCUGGGUAAGACACAGUGAACGACUCACUGCUGGCAUUCAUGAAGAAGUCAUAAACUCCACUGGAAUAAUAAAUAGGAUCUAAUAAAAUCAUGAGUGGAAAUUAUUGGUGUAAGUUUGUUAGGAUAGACUUCCUCCAACCUGGAACUAUAUCCUCCAGUCCACGCGGUGGCGGUAACGCGCCUAACAGCUGCGUCUCCGACCAGUAGAAAUCACAGAAGAAAAAGCUUCAGCGAGUAUCUCCUGAGCAGUUGAGUUAUUACACCGAACUAAUCAUCUCCAGAUUAAAUUAUUUCUGACAGUUUUACAGUUAGAUUUGAUCCAGUUUAAAAGUAAAAGCUGGUUAUUUUGUCUGUGUUUGUGGAAUUAAAACUCCGUUCUGUUUUUAAACCCGAGAAUCCCUUCUAUUGUGCACUGGAAGAUCGCUGGACUUGAAGCAACUCCAAAUGGUGGCCUGUUUGUCCAAAGCCCAGGCUGACCCCCCACCCCUUCAACCUCUGCAGCAAUGCUGGCAGCAGUAUUUCCCAAAGACAACCUCUGGAUAUGACGCUGAGCACGUGCACUCAACUUCUUUGGUCGACCAUGGCGAGGCCUGUUCUGAGUGGAACCUGUCCUGUUAAACCGCUGUAUGGUCUUGGCCACUGUGCUGCAGCUCAGUGUCAGUACCCAAAGCCCGUGGUGGUGGCAGUGCAUGGUGUGUGUGUGGGAGCAGGUCUGUUGGGAGUGUUAAGUACCAUCAUCUCAUACACUCAGCAAACAAUAUGGAUGGAACUUUCCAGAGUUGUGGUGUCACUUUCCUGCAAAGCUUUAACCAUCAGAGAGUUAUCUUUUACUGGGGCUUUUAGCUGCAGGAGACUGAAUUACUAACAGUUUUUUUUUUGUGGAUGUGAUUUCUUAUUUCGCAGGAGUGGAUCUAAUCACAGCCUGUGAUAUUCGUCUGUGCACACAGGAUGCCUGGUUUCAGGUGAAGUCGUGUGUUCCCUGAUAGUCAAUGAUUGCUGGAGCUCUGGAAAUAGCAGGUGAGAUUGCAGGCCGGAGUCCCGUCGCUGUCCAGGGAACCAAAAUCAACCUCCGCUACUCCUGAGACCACAGUGUGACUGAGAGCCUAGACUACAUGGCUACUUGGAACAUGAACAUGUUGCAGACACAGGAUCUUAUGAAGUCAGCGCAGACAGCCCUGGAAAAGAAGAGUCCGAAAGACGUGCCCUUCUCCAAGCUUUAAAGGAGAAGAUCCAGGGCUGUUGAAGCUGUGGUGGAACUAAGACUUCAUCAUCCACAUAUCUUCAGUUCUUCUUGCUAAGAGAACGAGAAACUCGGACACAACAGUACAUCCUGACCAUUGGUACUGUGUACACAUCAACAUACACACACGUCUCCAUGCUGGACAUCUCAGGAGCUUUCACACACAGUGCUAGGAAUAUCACGGGACAGAGAAACGCACCUCCAAAGUGAGCGAGUUUAGUGUCAACCGGUGAAAUUUGCUGUAGCGUGAACGCUUCGCCUCUGUGAGCUUCACUCUCCGUCAGGUUCACUGUAAUUAGACAUAAAAUGUACAUAAUGUUUAUUUUUCAUACAUUUAGGAUUUAAUGUUUUUUUUUUGUUUUUUUUUACUCUUUGAGGAACAGAAAUGAUCUUUCGAGGCAGCUUCUUCAUCACUACCUGCUCUGUUUGACUCAAAAAUGUAACGACCGGUUUCAAAAAGUCACGAUGUCUUCAGUUCAUGUGAUUUUACUGUUGAAUUUAAACAGGAAAUGUGAAAUAUUUUUGUUCCUUUGUUUCCUCUACUGUCUUUUUGCUGUGAUCUUGAACACAGUUGUAAUUUUUUUUAAAUAAUAAAUAAAUUAUCAUUCUAUUCUUUCUCACUUUCCUUGUCCUAAUUGUCCUGUAUCUGUUAAAUCCGUUUCAUCUCUGGUCUUUCUGUCUGUAUGAACACUUGUAGAAAUGACUUGUAGUCCAUAUUUUUAAAUGAUUCAUGAUUUUGAAUUUAAAUAAAGAUAUUCUUUAAUUCUG